UUGGCUUGUUGAUUUUUUUUAUGAAUGUAGAGAAGGUGGAAGAACAUGCUAAAGCUGCGAUUUUUGUCUCAAAAACUCCAUGAGUGCAGAGAAGAUGGAAGAACACGCUAAAGCUGCGAUUUUUAUCUCAAAAACUUCAUGAGUACAGGUUUAUAAACACAAAAGCUUAAAUUUUUUUGGGUGCUUUGCCUUUAUUUUGUUUUUUGACUUCUAGCAAUACAAAAGUUUAAACUUUUUUGUAUUCCUGAGCCUUCUCCAACAUGCUCAUUGUUUCCUAUACCCAGCUUUUUGUGUUUUCGUCCUUUUUUGGUGGUCUAAUGGUUCAAUAUAUUUUUUGGUAUGUUGAUUUUUUUUAUGAAUGCAGAGAAGGUGGAAGAACACACUAAAGUUGCGAUUUUUAUCUAAAAAACUCCAUGAGUACAGGUUCGUAAACACAAAAGCUUAAAUUUUUUUGGGUGUUCUGCCUUUAUUUUGUUUUCUGACUUCUCGCAAUGCAAAAGUUUAAACUUUUUUGUGUUCUUGAGCCUUCUCCAACGUACUCAUUGUUUCCUAUACCCAAUUUUUUGUGUUUUCGUCCUUUUUCGGUUCCUGGGAUUUUUGCCGGUCAAAUCCUUAUGUUUCCCUUAUUUUUGUUUCAUGUUUUUCUUUUGUUUGCUUUACCAUCUUUAACUUUUCUAUAUACUGACUGCACUUGCGCUAUGUUCUUGGCCGAGAACAACAAAUAAUCCGAGAACGACAACUCUCAGAAAGAACACCAGUCAUAGGUAUCCCCCAACCGUAACUACAGAAAGCAAUGUUAUGGGAUGAAGAGGAGUCCAGUUGAAUAUUGAAGUCCAGAAUCCAUUUCCUUUUUUCAAUUGUUUGUUGCCAAAAAAUUUAUGUAACUUUGUUUUAUAUUUAAUUUUUGGAUGUUGUUAUUUAAUUCCCUUGGGGAAGGAGACAAUAUUUUAUAGCGGUUUACAUUUUAUCAACAACAACGUCACCAAAAGAAUCAUAUAUUAAAAUGUGUUUUCAAUAAAA